CAGCCUGGCCGCGGUGAUGCCGCGCUGCCGGCUUUGCGUUUGCCUGGGGACGGAGCGGAUUCGAGAAGAAGAAACCAGCCAGGAAGCCCCGCAGAAGCGCGUAGGUGAGGGGGCCGUGCUGCCGCUGCGGUGACUCGGGGAGAUCCGACUGCCGAGAGCAAGGAGGAUUCGGGGAGAAGUGGAUCCGGGCGCUGGGCUCCUCUUGAARCCGCCUAUUCAGGAGCGAGAUAGGGAAGACAAGAGGGAGGAAGCCRAGGGGGGACGGAGCACUGAAGCCUUCUGUUCCCUGCCGGCGACGGAUGCAGGUGCAGCUGCAGAGUCCCGGGAUGCUUUGACUCCUUUGCACCGCCUUUUCCUGAGGGGAGASCGGAGWGGCAGGCGGAGGGAUGCCCCCGGCUCGGCUCUCGCUYGGAUGUGUCCCUGCUGCCAGGGUGGCCCGUGUGGCCACUGCUGCUGUGGAUCUGGGCCUUGAGGUGACCUGUGUGGAGUCUGAAGCCUAGUGCAGGGCUGAGCUCRCCCUCCAGUCUGUCCCUCGCUGAAGCUGUUUGCACCAUCACCUUCCCUCCCCCAGCUGCCCAUCCUCAGGAAACGUUUAGAAAUUAAAUAUGUUUUUCAAACCUCUGCCUGGCUUGUCCCCAACUUUGUCAGAAAUUGGCCAACAGCCUCC
rnacentral:lncRNA from 1 species